UACGUAGGGGGCAAGCGUUGUCCGGAUUUAUUGGGCGUAAAGAGCGUGUAGGCGGCUAGAUAGGUCCGUUGUGAAAACUCGAGGCUCAACCUCGAGACGUCGAUGGAAACCAUCUGGCUAGAGUCCGGAAGAGGAGAGUGGAAUUCCUGGUGUAGCGGUGAAAUGCGCAGAUAUCAGGAAGAACACCCGUGGCGAAGGCGGCUCUCUGGUACGUGACUGACGCUGAGAAGCGAAAGCAUGGGGAGCAAACAGG
rnacentral:rRNA from 1 species